rnacentral:rRNA from 1 species
GACUCGUCACACUAUCAUUAACUGAAUCCAUAGGUUAAUGAGGCGAACCGGGGGAACUGAAACAUCUAAGUACCCCGAGGAAAAGAAAUCAACCGAGAUUCCCCCAGUAGCGGCGAGCGAACGGGGAGGAGCCCAGAGCCUGAAUCAGCAUGUGUGUUAGUGGAAGCGUCUGGAAAGGCGCGCGAUACAGGGUGACAGCCCCGUACACAAAAGCGCAUGUGCUGUGAGCUCGAUGAGUAGGGCGGGACACGUGGUAUCCUGUCUGAAUAUGGGGGG